rnacentral:rRNA from 1 species
UACGAAGGGGGGCUAGCGUUGCUCGGAAUUACUGGGCGUAAAGCGCACGUAGGCGGCUUUCUAAGUCGGGGGUGAAAUCCUGGAGCUCAACUCCAGAACUGCCUUUGAUACUGGAAGCUUGAGUUCGGGAGAGGUGAGUGGAACUGCGAGUGUAGAGGUGAAAUUCGUAGAUAUUCGCAAGAACACCAGUGGCGAAGGCGGCUCACUGGCCCGAUACUGACGCUGAGGUGCGAAAGCGUGGGGAGCAAACAGGAUUAGAACAUCCGUA